CUCGCUGGGGGGGGGUGUCUCUUUCUUUCUUUCUUUCUCUCUCUCUCUCUCUCUCCCUUCCUUCCUUCCUUCCUUCCUUUUUUUCUUUCUUUCCUUCCUUCCUUAAUUUCCUAGCCUCGCAUUCUUGACAUUCCAUUUUGGCUUUUCAAGUUAUCUAGCAAGCUGGUACAAAUCUCGCCUAAAUAUGGAAGCUUUUUUUUUUUUCAAGACCUGCAAGAGCCAACCUGUCGAGAUGGGUUGGGAAAAGAUUCCUAAAUCUCCAACAUCAGCUGUCUUCCAGAGCAGAUCCCUGAAACAUCUUAAAAAGUAAAAGAUUUCUUCCAAUCAAUCAGUCAAAAAGACAGCCUCCCUUUGGAGACUCUUCCACCUGCAGGACAUGUUUUGCAGCUGAGUUUACACAAUGUACUUUCCUGGAUACCUGAAUGACCCUUUUCUGAAUCACAAAGAAAGCACAGGGACGCUUCAUUACCUAACUAGGUAACAUCAUCAGUGCUAGAAGGGAGGAGGAGGAAGAAGAGAAGGAGAAGUAGGAGGAGGAAAAGGAAGAGGAGGAGGAGGAGGAGGAGGAAGAAGACGACUACGACUACUUUGGAGUCUCUAGUGCUGUCUGAGCUUGGUUGUUUGCUUGGAUGUUUCAUUACCCAACUAGGUAACAUCAUCAGUGCUAGAAGGGAAAAGAAGGAGAAGGAGAAGGAGAAGGAGAAGGAGAAGAAGAAGAAGAAGAAGAAGAAGAAGAAGAAGAAGAAGAAGAAGAAGAAGAAGAAGAAGAAGAAGAAGAAGAAGAAGAAGAAGAAGAAGAAGAAGAAAACUACUUUGAAGUCCCUAGUGCUCUCUGAGCUUGAUUUUUUGCUUGCAGACGCUUCAUUACCUAACUAGGUAACAUCAUCAGUGCUAGAAGGGAGGAGGAGGAAGAAGAGGAGGAGAAGUAGGAGGAGGAAGAGGAGGAGGAAGAAGAGGAAGACUACGACUACUUUGGAGUCUCUAGUGCUUCUGAGCUUGGUUGUUUGCUUGGAUGUUUCAUUACCCAACUAGGUAGCAUCAUCAGUGUUAGAAGGGAGUGAGGAGGGGAACCAGAAACAGGAGGAGGAUUGUAGGGUCCUAAGUGCUCUCUGAGCGUGGUUGUUUUCCUGCAGACGUUUCAUUACCCAACUAGGUAACAUCAUCAGUAGCUUGCUGGGCUGUUGAUCCCACCACGGCUUCGAUGAAAGAAACAAAACACAUCCCUGCUGCUAUUGUUUUUUUGACCAUCAAGAACAGGUUCUUUUUAGCUAAAGAGGAAAUCCAAAUUAGGCUGUCUUUUCAACAAGACAUGGGUGUGGGAGGUUUUUGAGCUGUUAUUAUCCGAUCUUGACAACUCUCUCUUGGGUGUUGUAUGAAGACUUGAGGGAGGUGGGGGUUGUGUUUGUGUAUGGAGGUAGGUGGAGGUUUAAGAGAGCCCAAACAAGACCUUCAUGACCCAUAGAAACAUGUCUUUAUGGAUUCUUCUAAGAGUUCUUUCUAAUUCUUCUCUUUCAACGGCUCCCUUGAGGGAAUUGUUACUCACCCAGACCAGUUUGUCAACUUUUAAGUCUGCUUUAAAGCAUUUUUUUUCCCCUUCGCUUUUUUUUUUUAAAAAAAAUAAUCCUAGAAAGGUAAAACCCUUCUCAGGUAUGUGGAACAUGUCAUAUCAGCCACAGAAGUGACGUCUUUGGAUAGACACGCUUCUCCCUGCCUCGAAAAAAAAACCUGUUUUCUCCAUUCCUGUCACAAAAAGAAAAGCCAAAAGUACUUAAUGUCAAAUUAACCACCUAUAGCCGCAAUGGUGAACCUGUGGCACCCAGAGCCCCUUGCUGCGGGCACGCCAGCCAUCGCCUCAGCCCAGCUUCACCGCACAUCCAUGCAUGCCUUCCGCUGGCCAGCUGGUCUUCUGGUUUCCGGUGCUCUAGCAUGUGCGAAGACCAGCUGGCCGGUGCGCUAUUGUGGUCCACCAGCAGCCAGCAGAGCUGGCCACAAAGUCGGACAGCAAUGAGGCUGAGGUGAGGCCAGGGCCAUCGGGAAGUGAGGUGAGGACUCCAGAGCCUCCAGGGACUGAUAGUAGUGAGGCAGAGGAACAGGAGGAGCCUGUUCCUAAUGCACGCAUGAGAAGAGCUGCCAGAAGGCAAGAGCAGCUCAAGCAGAAAGGACGACUUCGGAGUAAGGCCAGGAGAUGAUUGGCCCCUCCCAUAAGGCUUAAAACAGACCAGCAACGGUGUUUUGAGCUUUGCCGGAAAACACCAUUGGAAGCUUCAUCUUCUUGCAUUUAUUUUGUAUCGGUAUCUUCUGAACGUUUGCCAAGAAAGGCCUUUGGCAGUUUGCCUAACUGGACCAAAAAUUUGCGAUAGGACUGAGGAAUUUGUGGUGGGAGGAAUUUGUUUUAAUUUAAUUGAACGCCCGCUGGCAUAUAUUCUGACACCCGCACAUGCACGCGCCUUCUGGUUUGGGCACUCGGUGCCGAUCAAGGUUCACCAUCACUGCUUUAUCUAUAUCAGGGUUCUCCAACCUUGGCAACUUUAAGCCUGGAGGACUUCAACUCCCAGAAUUCCCCAGUCAGCGAAGCUGCCAAGGUUGGAAGAUCCUGCUCUAUAUACCUGCCAGAGAGUCCAACAAAUCAGCAUUAACACUAAGCUUCAGGAUGGUUAGUUUAUGACUGGCUUAGCGUGUGAGUACAUCUGGCUAAUGAUGGUUUCUUUAGUCAGCCAUGGUUAAACUCUGGAUAAAACACCAACAUAUCAGUAAAAUGGUUUAUGUCCAGGAGCGGAUUUUCAUUGUUGCAGAUUAACAUGCGAGUUUUCUGCCUCGACCUAGCUCAGAAUACAUUAUAAACUGUGUCAGAGGUGUCUACAUCAGAGGUGGGUUUCGGCAGGUUCCAACCAGUUCUGGAGAACUGGUAGCGGAAAUUUUGAGUCGUUCGGAGAACCGGUAGUAAAAAUUCUGACUGGAGCUGUGCUCAUCUAUUCUCUGCCUCAAUAAAAAAUAUAUAUAUA